rnacentral:rRNA from 1 species
GAUGAACGCUGGCGGCGUGCCUAAUACAUGCAAGUCGAGCGAACAGACGAGGAGCUUGCUCCUCUGACGUUAGCGGCGGACGGGUGAGUAACACGUGGAUAACCUACCUAUAAGACUGGGAUAACUUCGGGAAACCGGAGCUAAUACCGGAUAAUAUAUUGAACCGCAUGGUUCAAUAGUGAAAGACGGUUUUGCUGUCACUUAUAGAUGGAUCCGCGCCGCAUUAGCUAGUUGGUAAGGUAACGGCUUACCAAGGCAACGAUGCGUAGCCGACCUGAGAGGGUGAUCGGCCACACUGGAACUGAGACACGGUCCAGACUCCUACGGGAGGCAGCAGUAGGGAAUCUUCCGCAAUGGGCGGAAGCUUGGCGGAGCAACGCCGCGUGAGUGAUGAAGGUCUUCGGAUCGUAAAACUCUGUUAUUAGGGAAGAACAAAUGUGUAAGUAACUAUGCACGUCUUGACGGUACCUAAUCAGAAAGCCACGGCUAACUACGUG